rnacentral:rRNA from 1 species
UCCAUAACAUAUUGAAGUGGCAUCACUUUAAUAUUAAAGCCUUCGGGCGGUUAGAGAUGGGCGUGCGUCUGAUUAGGUAGUUGGCGGGGUAACGGCCCACCAAGCCUGCGAUCAGUAGCUGAUGUGAGAGCAUGAUCAGCCACACGGGCACUGAGACACGGGCCCGACUCCUACGGGAGGCAGCAGUAAGGAAUAUUGGUCAAUGGACGAAAGUCUGAACCAGCCAUGCCGCGUGAAGGAUUAAGGUCCUCUGGAUUGUAAACUUCUUUUCUCUGGGACGAAACCCCCUGUAUCCACAGGGCCUGACGGUACCAGAGGAAUAAGCACCGGCUAACUCCGUGCCAGCAGCCGCGGUAAUACGGAGGGUGCAAGCGUUAUCCGGAUUCACUGGGUUUAAAGGGUGCGUAGGUGGACAUUUAAGUCAGUGGUGAAAUCUCUGGGCUUAACCCGGAAACUGCCAUUGAUACUAUUUGUCUUGAAUUCUCUGGAGGUAAGCGGAAUAUGUCAUGUAGCGGUGAAAUGCUUAGAUAUGACAUAGAACACCCAUUGCGAAGGCAGCUUACUACGGAGACAUUGACACUGAGGCACGAAAGCGUGGGGAUCAAACAGGAUUAGAUACCCUGGUAGUCCACGCCCUAAACGAUGUUUACUCGACAUUAGCGAUACUACUGUUAGUGUCUAAGCGAAAGCAUUA